AAGAUCUUCUGAGCAAGAGUAGUCUUUCCCAUGCCACCAACACCAAUUAUAGACACGACUUUGAUGCUGUGAUUAUUAUCACUUGAGGUUAGCACCUGGACGAGCUCCCUUGUAUCCCUCUCUAUCUGUUCCCCAACUAUGGCUGACUCGUCGACAUGUGAAAUUGUCCUAUAGCUGGAUAACUCAGCAGCAGUUAGCUUCAUUGGCUUCGGACUGGAACCAAGGCCAAUACUGAACUUGUACUUGUCUGCCUCCUUGUGGAUGCCUUCCAGUCGCUGGUUCAGCUCCUUGAUGCGGCUGCCUAUCUUGUGUGCGAACACGGGAUUCCGCAGGCAGAAGAGCAAUGGCUGGAAACAGCCGGGAGACUUAUGCUCCACAGUGCCACCACUUCUAGACUCCCUCCGCUUGGCAGCCUCGAGCUGGCACAGGUCGAGGAUGUCAGUGGCGUCAUACAUGGCGUUCUUGAGCUUUGUUGACCAUCUUUGCACGCUUGUGUCGGUGAUGCGCCUCCUCUCGGCAUCU
rnacentral:lncRNA from 1 species